GGGACACACAGGGACACAGAGGAAUGAGGUUCCUUCUCAUUUAUCUCCUCUCAAGGCUGCACAGCCCCAGCUCCCUCAGCCUUUCCUGGGCAGGGAGAUGCUCCAGUCCUUUCAUCAUUUUUAUUGCUGGGCCUGCUCCCUGUCCCUCCUGUCCCGAUGAUUCCAGACUUGGACACAGCAUCCAAAACAUCCUUGUGGCUGCUCUUACAACCGAUGGCAGAAAUCUCCAUAGUGGGAUAGUGGGAUCACUUUAUUUCCCCGUUAAAAUCCAGUUUUUCUCCGGGGUGUCGUUCCCAAACUCCCGCUCUCCUUUAAAAUCCCAUUUUUCCCUGGGUUGUUGUUCCCCAAUUCCCGAAUUCCCGCCCGGGCUGGGACCCUCCCUGAGGGCUCCCACAGGGUCCUGAGGAGGACACAGCAUCCAAAACAUCUUUGUGGCUGCUCGUACAGCUGAUGACACAAAUCCCCAUUCAUAGGAUCACCCUAUUUCCCCGUUAAAAUCCCGUUUUCCCCGGG
rnacentral:lncRNA from 12 species